GGAGCAACGUUUACCAUUAAAAGUUCCACCUUCAGCACGUGGUGUAAAUCUUCUUCAUGAUCCUUUAUGGAAUAAAGGAACAGCAACAACAAUGAGUGAAAGAGAACGUCUUGGUUUAAGAGGUCUUUUACCACCUCGUAUUAUGAGUAU
rnacentral:ribozyme from 1 species